rnacentral:rRNA from 1 species
GCAAGUCUGGUGCCAGCAGCCGCGGUAAUUCCAGCUCCAAUAGCGUAUAUUAAAGUUGUUGCAGUUAAAAAGCUCGUAGUUGAACCUCGGGAUCAAUGGAUCGGUCAUGCCAUCGGUAUGUACUGGUCUCAUUGGUUCUCACCUUCUAAGGAACCAUGAUGUCAUUCAGUUGAUGUUGUGGGGAAUUAGGACUGUUACCUUGAAAAAAUUAGAGUGUUUAAAGCAGGCUAACGCUUGAAUACAUUAGCAUGGAAUAAUGAAAUAGGACAUCGCAUUCUAUUUUGUUGGUUUCUAGGAUCGAUGUAAUGAUUAAUAGGGAUAGUUGGGGGCAUUAGUAUUCAAUUGUCAGAGGUGAAAUUCUUGGAUUUAUUGAAGACUAACUACUGCGAAAGCAUUUGCCAAGGAUGUUUUCAUUAAUCAAGAACGAAAGUUAGGGGAUCGAAGACGAUCAGAUACCGUCGUAGUCUUAACCAUAAACUAUGCCGACUAGGGAUCGGAUGAUGUUAAUUUUUUAAUGACUCAUUCGGCGCCUUACGGGAAAC